rnacentral:tRNA from 1 species
GCCUUCGUGGUGUAGUGGUCAGCACGCUGGGCAAGUAUUCCAGAGGUUCGUGGUUCGAAUUCCGGCGAUGGCA